rnacentral:lncRNA from 1 species
CCAUGCAGGGAGCCCGACGUGGGACUCAAUCCUGGGUCUCCAGGAUCAGGCCCUGGGCUGAAGGUGGCACUAAACCGCUGAGCCACUCAGGCUGCCCUAGAUUCCAAUUUUAAACUACAAAUAUACCCUGAAAGUCUGAAGCUAUUCAGUCAGCUGAAUUAUUUUAAACAAUUUAUUUAAAAUUUGAAAACCUAUAUGCCAGCUAUGAAGAUAAGGACCUUCCUUAUCCAAACCUUAAAACAAGCUUACAGUAUGGAUAACUUAUCUGUAGUGUACAGGUGAUGAAAAUGAAUCUUACAGAUGUUUUAUACCUUGUCCAACAUCAUUCACAUAGCUAGGGAGUGCCAGAAUGGAUUUCUAACCACUCUGGACUAUAUCUCUUCUCAAAAACUAGCCUAUGACAGUUAGAUGAGAGGAAAAAUAUUUUUUACUGGGAUGUGAGAAGGAAGGUAGAAUUAAAAGUCAGGAAUUCUGGAAAAUGAAAUUAUGAAUCCCUUGGAUUUCUAAGAGUUAAGAAAUUGUCCUGAAAAUGCCAAGAACAAAACACCUAUGUUGCAGUUGUGACUGGUAAUGAAUGUUAACUACAUGUUGCAUGGCACCAAAGUCAUCUUUCCCAUGUAAGUCUCCGUGGUGUGGGGAUCAUGUUCAAAGGUACUCGGCAGUUUAAAAGGAUUAAUUAUAUUACGUGAUAAGGAAUUUUAAUGAUUUAACAGGAAAUUUAAAAAUAUUAUAGAUAUAGGCAUUAUACAAAGGUAAAUUUUAAUUUUUCUAAUAAUCCUUAAAUAAGUUUUAAUCUUUAAGACAGACUAGAUUGGAGAAGCUAAGAUGGCAGAGUGGUAAGAGGACCUUAGGGUUGCCUGGUCCCUUCAAAUUCAGUUAGAUCAAUAUCAAAUCAUUCUGAAUACCCAAGAAAACAAUCUAAGGAUGGACAGAACAAAAAUAGAGGGAGAGAAGAGUCCACAUCCUGGAAGGUAGGAGGUGCAGGGAUGUCAUUUGGGGGAGAAAUAUAUCACAGGUGCUGUGGAGGAAAGGAAGCCCUGGUCACAGAGAGAAGAGAAAGGGGAAAAGAGAAAGAGAGAGGAGUAC